UGGAAUGAUAGCUAUACAGCCUGGCACUCAGACAGACUAUUGUAAGAUGUGCCUCUGUUGCAAAGCUGUAACCUGCUUUAGAUAACGGGACCACUAUCCCGAGCGACCUCUGGCAUGUUGAAAGCUUUCAAAAUAUGUCUGUAAUCCCCGCCCAAGGCCACACCGACUCAACAGAUAGAACAAGGAGCGCAGACUCACCGGGAAUGACGCUAAUCUCAAUCACUGAUUGGACAAAUGUCCCAAAUUAAUGGAGCGAGGGCAGUUCCGGGAUUCCAACAUUGGCCUAGAAUACUAGCAAUUAGCCUCGGGACCGAAACGAACCCUUAAGUACUUGAAAACAUCAGCCCUGGAGGUCAGGGGGUGCCCUCCGAUUGCCCUCUUAGACAGCGACAGUGUGUGACAGAAGACUUGAGUGUGUGUGCAAAGAAAUAAAGAGGGAGAGAAAGAAGAGGACCUGCAGUUGUUUGUGGCUUUUUCUUCUUUCUGCGUGGCUCCAUUUCAAAGGGAUCAUGGGAAAAGAUGCAUGUUUACGGCGAAACCAUGGCGACACCGAUUUUAGGCUCUGUUUGGGAUGAAUUGAUUUUACCUGCGCUGUCACAAAGACUGAGAAAAACGGCUAGAUAAACAGCUAAUUGGUCCAGUUGACCCGACAAGACUGAUCUCAGCGUUCUUUCAUAUUGACGCAGUACUGAAAUACAACAUUUUAAAUAGCUUUUGUGUACAUGUUUUAAUGUUUGAAAAAGCUGCAAGUCGACUUGCAUUUUUGCUGGGCAGCUUUAAGACUGGCUUAAAGUUGAGAUUCCUGUUUGUCUCAACCGCUGCUGCCUCCGCAGGAUAUAGAGCCUUGAACUCUCCCCUUUGCAAGCGUUCUGUCGCACUUUUCUCUGUCGCACUUUUCUCUGUCUCACAAACACGCAUUUCAGGGCCUAGAUACACCUUUUCUAAGACCAGCGUUCAGUCGAUGGUCACUGCUCUGCUAGAGAACCCUGUUCUGCUGUUUCAUAGGAUGUCCUGUUACUACCUCCUAAUUUCUGCCCCACAUUUCCCUUACAAGAAUUUGUAAAUGGACAACUGUUAACACUCAAGCGCCGGGGAGUAAUAGCCGGGGAGUAAUAGCCGGGGAGUAAUAGCAAGUUAGUGUUCGAUGCCUGUGGAGGGUUGGUUUGUUGUCUCACAAGGUCAGAAAGUGGUUGUUCAAGCAGUUUGUUGUGUGUGUCCUUGUGGGUCUUUGUUGCACUACACAGGAGAGAUUCUGUUGAGAUUUAUUUAUAUUGUUGAACCAAAUAAGGUUACAUGAAGCCAUAUGGAAAUAUUUCAAAAAGUCGCAAUUGUUUUUGUAUCCUAAUGUAAAGUUUUUAAGCUGUGUAAAAGUUAUAUAGUCUAAUAUAUACCUGCAAAGUUCUACACACAUGUAAACAAAGGUGUAGACUUUACUAUAAAAUCAUUAUUUUAGUUUUUAAGUGGUUUUAUUGGCUGAAGUGCAAAUAUCUGGCUAGCUUUCUCUAAGAUGUUUCUCCCAAACGACUGCUUUGUGUAAUAUUACAAGUGCUGGUCCCUAAGAUCCUUCCCUUCUACCAUCAUGCUCCCUUAUCCCAUACGGACACUGAGGUGUUCCCUCUGACCCUUCCACCACCCUUCUCUUUAGAUAUACCCCUUCUACCCCUCUCUCUCCCUCUGAUGCCGGGGUUUAGUAGUGGGGGGCUAGGGGGAGAAGUGGGUGGCCCCGCCUCUUCUUCUCCCCGCCGGUUCCACCCCAGUCGCUAUGUACCCGUCUCCGCGGCAACCACCUUCCUGGUCGCCUCCACCACACUCUUCUUCUGCUUCACGUGUCCUUGGUUGUCAGAGCAUGUCUCCUCCGUCGUUCCCAUCUAUAACGCUGUGGUCUUCCUCUUCACCCUCGCCAACUUCUGCAUGGCCACCUUUAUGGACCCAGGGGUCUUUCCCAGAGCGGAAGAGGAUGAGGAUAAAGAGGAUGAUUUCCGCGCUCCGCUCUAUAAGACAGUGGAUAUCAAGGGCAUUCAGGUCCGGAUGAAGUGGUGUUCCAGCUGCCGCUUCUACAGACCGCCCCGCUGUUCACACUGCUCUGUGUGUGACAACUGUGUGGAGGACUUUGACCACCACUGCCCGUGGGUCAACAACUGUAUUGGGCGCAGGAACUACCGUCACUUCUUCCUGUUCCUUUUGUCCUUGACGAUCCACAUCAUGGGUGUAUUCGGCUUUGGCCUGCUCUACGUCCUCCACCACCAGCACCAGCUGGACAGGGUUCACUCUGCUGUCACUAUGGCUACAAUGUGUGUUGCUGGCCUCUUCUUCAUCCCAGUAGCAGGUCUUACUGGUUUCCACAUGGUACUGGUAGCUCGGGGUAGGACCACUAACGAGCAGGUCACAGGGAAGUUUAGGGGCGGCGUUAACCCUUUCACCAAUGGCUGUCUGAGGAACAUCUCACACGUGCUCUGUAGCGCUCAGGCUCCCAGGUAUGUGGGGCGGUGGCGGGGCAAACAGACAGCGGAGGUGCAGCCUCCCUUCCUCCGCCCACCUCUCUCCUCCGCCCAGCUAGAAGCCAAAGUCCUGGACAACGGAAUCCAGAACGACUGCCACAGCACCAGGUCUAAGAGCAGUUUAGAGCAGAUGGAGAGCCAGUCAGCUGAUGCAGAGCCUCCACCUCCUCCCAAACCGGAGCUCCGCUACCCUGGUCUGCCCCGCGCUGACACCGAGGAGAGCAGCUUGCUGUCUGACGGUCCGCCCACUCCAUCUAUGUACAAGUACCGGCCGGCCUAUAGCAGCCCACAGAUGAACCACACAGCUCUGACCCACCCAAACAAGAUGAUUCGUGGGGACAGUCAGGACUCUCCCUCCACCCUCCAGUGGAGUUGCCAGCCCAGCUAUCGGUCUGAGCCCAGCACCCUUGAUGGGGGGUCGAUAAUAAGUGUGGGGGUGCGUAGGGGGGGAGGGGAAAGGGGCGAGGGCCCCGGGGGAACCAGUGGGACGGGUGGUGGCGUCUCGGGGGGCAUCUCCGGGUACUCCCUAGGGGGGCGGUCAUACACUUCCUACCCCUCAUCUCUUGUCUUGUCCACCGGUGGCUCCCUCUCCUCCAGCAUGCGCUCUGCCCACACGCACCACAAUACUCUGGGCACGCUCCAAUCAGAGGGCACCACCGACACCAGCUACAAGAGCCUGGCCAAUCAGACACCUCGGAAUGGCAGCCUGUCCUACGACAGCCUGCUGACGCCGUCCGAGAGCCCAGAGUUUGAAUCGGCUGCUCAUGAGCUGUCCCCCCAGAAGCCCCACACCCCCGCAGCGUUUCCCCCGGCGACGACCUUCUCCUUGCCGGCCCCCGGGGUCGGGGAUGCGCCCCUGCAGGGGUACACCUCGCCCUUCCUCUCUGCACAGAUGGCCCAGCAGAGAGAGGGCCAGCUGCUCCAGGGCUCUGCCUCUUUCUCCUCCCCCCACAGGGCGUACCUUCGCGCCAUCAGUCCAGCCCUGCCGACUCCUCCCCCACACGCUGCCCACUCUGAGACACCGCACCUCCUUCACCAGGACACCAGACACCCACACCUCCGUGCCUCCUCCUCUCGCCCCCUUCCUCCCGUCUCUGAACAGCCCUCCCCGUCCUCCCCCCGUGCCUGUUCCCCUGACCCCCCUGUGUCCCCCCCGCCCCGAGGCCCCUCCCUGGGGCAGUCUCUCUCCUACACCCGAGAGGCGGGGCUCCAGCACAAGGCUCGGCCAAUGGGAGGAGGUGGUUUGUCGGGAGGGGGCGGAAUCAGAGGGAUCCAGGCUCCACAGUGAGUAGAGAUCUGAGCCGCAAGCCUGGUACUCUUCGUACUCCUCUUCCUCCCUGAUUGAUCUAUGUGAACCCUCCUCUUCCUCCCUGAUCUGUGUGAGUCUUUUCCUCCUCUUGAUAUCAAUCCACCUCUCGCCCAGGCUUGGCCAAUCACAGUACAUCUAAACCAGGGGGUGGGGUGAAAAAGGUGACUGGCGUCGGAGGGACAACCUAUGAGAUAUCGGUUUGAGUGACAGACGUCCGCCCCGGCCAAUGAUAGAAAGAAGAUUGUUCCACUGGACAGAUUCCAAUUUUCUUACUCUGAGGGCAUGAUGGAUGUUCACUAAAAUGCACCCACACAAUGAAUGGACUGUCCUCUCCUCUUGGUCAAUAUGGAGUCGGAUAGUGGAAUAGAAGUGUGUUGGCUCACUGGUAUUUCAAUGACCUUCCUAUCCUUAUAGUGCCACUGGCCAUCUUUAUCUGCCAAUCUUUCAUAUUGGAUAGAAUGGCAACUGAAGUGGAACUCAAUGUUGAUCAGUGUUGGAAUGGGACAACCUUACCUCGGCCUCUCUGUGAGCCAUAGACUGUAUAACAUGAAUGCUAUUAUGACUGCUGGGUACUAAACUCUCUCUAUAACACUUAUAUAAAAAUAUGAUUUGUUUUGGUACAUUAACACAUGGAGAAUUUAUGCAAUAAAAUAUAAUCCUGGAAGGAUGUAAGGCUUUUUAACCAAUCAGUAUGGAGCCUGAGAGGGAGCAUACGGACUGGUGACCAAUCGUGGCACUCUGUGGUUCAAGACUUCCUGGUCCAUCAUAUGGAUGGAUCAAUCACAAUGGAUCCCCACUCCACAGUAGUCAUUAAUUAAUUAGUCUGCAGUGAUUAUUCAAAGACUGUGCAGAGAUGAUGCCUCAACCACUACAAUUUCAUUUAAGUUUUCUAAAUAAAGCUUUGGUUUUUUUAAUUGUUUUAUAUAAAUGUCUAAAAAAAUAUUUUAAGAGUUAUUGGGUCAGAUGAUGAAGAUUAUAGUUUAUUUUGCUUUGUGACAAACUAUUAAUGUGAGUGAGUUCGACUGGUCGCUUGUUUUGAUUGAUGGCUGCUUCAGCCUGUCAUAGAUCUCGAUGGAAUAUUCAUCCAAAGUGAUGAUCCUCUCUGACGGACAGCUGAAGUGACAUCACUGAGGAUGUUGAAAGCCACAAAGAAAAUUGAAAUUCUGAAUCAUAAAUACAGCACAAGCCUCUUUGUGGAAUGUACACUCAAUGUUUUUUUAUUGCUACUUUAUUCAAAUUCUCUGUAGCUUUAAAUGAUUGUCCUUUUGAUGUUCGCAAUGUUUUCUGUCAAUCGAAUGCUAGAAAAACCUUAUAAAGAUGUCUAGCCAAAUGGGUUUAGGGUGGGAGGGGCUUAUUUAUUUGACCACACAGGGAAACCUUUUGCGCUCUUAACACAAUUCCAAACCGAUCUCUACGUUCUGGAGUUGGAUGACGUUGCCCCUACACAAUGGGGCUUUUUGACCCUAAUGGUUAAGUUUAGGACUAGGGGAUGUUAAGAUGAUCCUAGAUCUGUUCUCAGAAGGGUCAUUUAUAACCCAGAGCCCACAUCCCUGUCAUAGUGCCUUGUCCUUAGAUUCUAAUGUACUUGUACACUUCCAAGAAAUCAAAUUCUGGGGGGGUGGUUUUAUUUUCCAAGAUAAUAUGGUAUAAAUAUAGAUAUUCUGUAGUAAUGUCUGAUUGUUAAUAGAAAUAUGUAUGAUGUGUCUGGGGGGGGGUUGAAAUUGAGGACUGUUUUGAUUGUUUUUUUGCCUUGAGACCAUUUGUAGUAAAACUAAGCAUUUUGUUUUUUACAGUAUUGCUUAUGAUUACAGCCAGUUAAGAAUGUUAUAUUUUAGUUUGUUUUAUAGAUAUAUACUGGCCUCUUGAUUUCUUUAUUUUGAAUCUCUUUAUGGUACAAUUAACAUAUUGGCCACAAAUAGGUUUAGGAAGGCAUGGUCAGAAACACAGAGGUGUGGCAGGAGUGUGUGGGUGAGAGGUGGUGUUGUGUUUAAUCCAAAGUUAGAGUUGGAAUGUCAAAGCUAGCUGAAUGUAGCACAUGUUGUGUUCUGAAGCACACAAAGUAGACUAUCCCACCAACCAACCAAUCAAACAGCAGCAUGGGCAGUCAGUGUGUGUGUGUGUGUGUGUGUGUGUGUGUGUGUGAGAAUAUCCUUGCCAAAUGCACACCUGGUUGAUAUGUAUGAUGACAAUAGUUAAGCAUCAUAAUGGCACAAAAAGUCAGACAUACAGGACUGGAGAAAGUCUGACUGUUACUUUGGUGGUGAAUAAGUGAAUAUACAUGAGUAAAUUAGAAUACUAUUGUUGUAAGCUGUGCUGAAUGGAAAGAGAGUCCCAAAUUACUUCAAUGAUGAAUAUGAAAAAGACAGUUCCAAAAUGGCCUUACGAGGAGGUUUUUAAAGAUGUCUUCUCAGAUUAAAAGGUUGCCCUGAUGGAAAAA